UACGUAGGGCGCAAGCGUUGUCCGGAAUUAUUGGGCGUAAAGAGCUCGUAGGCGGCCAGUUGCGUCCGCUGUGAAAUCCUGGGGCUUAACCCCGGGCGUGCAGUGGAUACGGGCUGGCUAGAGGCAGGCAGGGGAGAACGGAAUUCCCGGUGUAGCGGUGAAAUGCGCAGAUAUCGGGAGGAACACCGGUGGCGAAGGCGGUUCUCUGGGCCACUACUGACGCUGAGAAGCGAAAGCAUGGGGAGCGAACAGG
rnacentral:rRNA from 1 species